GUGCCAGCCGCCGCGGUAAUACGUAGGGUACAAGCGUUGUCCGGAAUUAUUGGGCGUAAAGAGCUCGUAGGUGGUUUGUCGCGUCUGCUGUGGAAUCGUGCCGCUUAACGGUGCGCGUGCAGUGGGUACGGGCAGACUGGAGUGCAGUAGGGGAGUCUGGAAUUCCUGGUGUAGCGGUGAAAUGCGCAGAUAUCAGGAGGAACACCGGUGGCGAAGGCGGGACUCUGGGCUGUUACUGACGCUGAGGAGCGAAAGCAUGGGGAGCGAACA
rnacentral:rRNA from 1 species